CUAGCCGUAAACGAUGGAUACUAGGCGUUGUGAGUAUCGACCCUCACAGUGUCGUAGCUAACGCGUUAAGUAUCCCGCCUGGGGAGUACGCGCGCAAGCGUGAAACUCAAAGGAAUUGACGGGGGCCCGCACAAGCGGUGGAGUACGUGGUUUAAUUCGAUGCAACGCGAAGAGCCUUACCAGGACUUGACAUGUCGCGAAUCUCAGGGAAACUUGAGAGUGCCUUCGGGAGCGCGAACACAGGUGGUGC
rnacentral:rRNA from 1 species